rnacentral:rRNA from 1 species
ACGGGUGAGUAACGCGUGGGAACAUACCCUCCGGUUCGGAAUAACUCAGGGAAACUUGAGCUAAUACCGGAUACGGCUUAGCGGCGAAAGAUUGAUCGCCGGAGGAUUGGCCCGCGUUCGAUUAGCUAGUUGGUGAGGUAACGGCUCACCAAGGCGACGAUCGAUAGCUGGUCUGAGAGGAUGAUCAGCCACAUUGGGACUGAGACACGGCCCAAACUCCUACGGGAGGCAGCAGUGGGGAAUAUUGGACAAUGGGUGCAAGCCUGAUCCAGCCAUGCCGCGUGAGUGAUGACGGCCUUAGGGUUGUAAAGCUCUUUCGCUCGGGACGAUAAUGACGGUACCGAGAUAAGAAGCCCCGGCUAACUUCGUGCCAGCAGCCGCGG